UGGGGCCCACGGGCGCCGCGCUCUCGGCACACGCGCGCGGGGCCGGCUCUCCGCUCAGUAGAACGCCCGGGGCGCUUCCUGCAGAGGCGGACAGCGGCUCCGGCGCCGCGACCAGAAAACCCAGGCACAGCCCGGAAGUCCCCAGGCCACCCGCUCCUCAGUACCCUUCGGGGAAAUCCCGUGCCCCUCUGCAGGAGGCGAGAAGAAAACAAACAAAAACCCCGUAAAACUGAAACCGGGCCGGGCUGCGGGAUGGGUGGCAGCGGCGAGAGCCCGGCGCCCACGGACACACGCCCCGUCUCGCGCUCCGCUGCUCCAGUGAGUCGGUCGAACCAUAGAGACCACUUAAGGAGGCUCGCGCGCUACUCCCCACCACGUGACCGCCCCGCUAGGCCGCACCCCCCCGCGCCGCCAUCUUACAUCCGGGACAGAAGCGGCGUCCCUUUCCCCGCCUUGGCAAAAUUCGACGUGUCACUAGAAAUCAGCCCCCAAAGGGGGAACCCGGAUUCCACGUCACCAAAGUGCUGAGGGCGCGGGCUGCGCUCCCCACGCCGCUUAACGGGGCAAAGUGGAGCCGCUAACUUCUCCCGGUGUUUGUCCGCAAAGAAAAUGGCGGCACUUACCGCCGUCUAAGUGGACACGUUGUACUCUGGCUGAGGUUUAAAGUUUCUGGCACCUCCUUUCGCAUCUAGCAAGGACACCGCAACAUGCGCUCCACCCCGCGGCGUGGCCGCUGCGCCACAUUCCGCAGAAAACCGGCGGGAAAGCUGCUGCACUGCCCGCUUUAAUGCGCAGGCUCCUGAGACUUGUGGGUGGGUUUUUUUUUUUUUUAAAGGCCAAGUUUGGGAAAAGGCCGACUACCCUGAGUUCCAUCUGCUUUGGGGCCAGGCGAGUUUCUUUUUGCCUCCCAUUUUGAGACUUCUGUGAAGUUAAGUCGGUGUGAAGAAAAAGCAGGCAGGGGCUGCCAAUUAAGAUUCACAGAACGUCUAAUUCGAGUUUCGGAUAAACGAAUUAGUUUUUAGUAUAUGUAUGUCCCCUAUACUAAAAGUGUUUGAACUUGGAAUAUAGCUAGUGUCCUGCACUUUUACGUAAAUCUGGCAGUACUGUUAGUCAUCACCCUCCUGAAAAUCCAGACCACAUAAGAAAAAUAAGAAAUGGGGGAACUGAGUGUGUUCAGACUUGAGGCUGCUUCUGCGCAGGCUUUGAUCCCUUCAUGAGAGGCAGAGGGCUAAGGUCCAGACUCCAAACCACACACAAGGGACAUCCAUGCAUAACUGCUUUUGGGAACAAUAAGUAUUCUUUACCUUUAAAGCAGCACAAUGUAACUUUGAUAACCUCUCAGCCAGAGAAUCUCUUUGCAAGUAAAAGAUUACAUAAUACUGGCUUUUCAUUUCUGUUCUAUUUAGUAUUGGUGAUGGGACACAGUUUCCUUUAAAAAAUUUUUUUUGACUAUGCUGCGUCUUUUAUUGCUGCGCGGGCUUUUCCCUAGUUGCAGGGGCCAGGGGUUACUCUCUAGUUGCCAUGCCUGGCCUCAUUGUGGCUUCUCUUGUAGCAGAGUCCAGGCUCUAGGGCAUACGGGCUUCAGUAAUCCCCGCAGGUGGUCUCAAUGGUUGGUGCUGCCCGCCUGUAGAGCGCAGAGUGGUUGUCACCUCGGGGCUUGCUUGUUCCCCUAGCAUGUGGGAUCUUCCCAGAUCAGGGAUCCAACUCCUGUUUCCUGCAUUGACAAGCAGAUUUUUUUUUUUUAAAUACUACUGAGCCACCAAAGAAGCCUGGAACACAAUUUAUUGAACAAAGUUUCAAAUUAAAAAGCAACCUGCCUGACAUGUUUCAAAAUAAAAUUUGUAAUAUGCAAAUUAAGACAUACACUUGGUUUGGUGUGUGUGUUUUUUUUUUGCCCCAGGUGGCACUUGUGAUAUCUUCUUAUUUCCCUGACUAGGAAUCAAACCCCAGGCCCUUGACAGUGAAAGCAGGGAGUCCUAACUAAGGAAUUCCCUAAAAUAUACUUGGGUAUGCCCACUAACUGCCCAAUCCAGUGUCAUGCCUCCUGUAUGCAUUUUAAAGCAAACGCUUAAGUUUGCCUUGAUGUGCAAUCAGAACUACUUCCAAUUAACAAUAUUUGUGUAUUUUUUGUAUAUAUGGAACAUACUUGCAAUUAGGUGCCUAACCUGACCCAAAUAUAAAUUUGACUGGGCGUCUCAGUGAUGCUUACCAUAGUCUAUGUGCUUAGUCGCUUCAGUCAUGUUCAACUCUUUGCAACCCCAUAGACUGUAGUCCUCCAGGCUCCUCUGUCCAUGGGAUUCUCCAGGCAAGGAUACUUGAGUGGGUUGCCAUUUCCUUCUCCAAGGGAUCUUUCUGACCCAGGAAUCGAACCCAGGUCUCUUCUGUCUCCUACGCUGGCAAGUGCAGGCAACACUCUACCACUAGCACCAUCUGGAAAUCAGCUCACUAAUACUUUCAUUAUAAUUCACACCACCUUGUUCCCAUAAGCAAUGCUUGGGCUGGCAUCCCCCACUGCUGAUUCAUUGCACAGUGGACCACAUUAUCCUCCACCACAGUUCACUUCAGUUCAGUUCAGUUGCUCAGUCGUGCCC
rnacentral:lncRNA from 1 species